GCAGACGGCCUAUGGUGGGACUUCACCUUGUGAUCGUCUACCUUGAUGCUGAACAUCCCCUGAAGCAACAGGACUGCAUGAGCUUGGUGUGGCUGAGCCCAUGUCCUAAUGAACAUCCAGAAAAGAAAGACACUCAGAAAGCCAGGAAAAUGGAAGAAUUUUUUUUUUCAGCCAGCCAGGCACCUGACAGUAAUCAAAAUCUGUAAAGAACAGGAUGUGGAGCCUCCUCUGCUUGUUCAGCACGAACAUUUUGUGGUGGGUGCUGCAAAGAUGACUCAGACACAGUCUCCACCCCAGGUCACUCAUAGUCUAGUGCAGUACACCAAAGCUGUGAAAGCUAAAGGGCAGACCAUUGGCCCAUCCAGGGAGAGUGGUAGAAGAGGGAGCAUUUAUUUGAAUAGCUGUGAUGCUACCAGUCUGAAAAAAGGGGAAGGUAUCUUGAGAAUAAGAAGCAAGUUUUCAAAACACAGAGGCAGAAUGGAUAGAAUGGGGUGAACACAGUAAGGUGCAGAGUGUGUGAUGAGCGUACUUGUCAGGUCUCAGAUGAAAGUGACCAAGACCUAGCUCCACUGUGAUGAAGCCUGUAAAGAAAGACAUACAUGAACACACAAAUAAGGCAAUGCAUUUUCUUACGCAGCUGAAAGGUACAAGAGAGGACCAGGUUAUCAAAAAUGUCUUCAGGGUGUACCCAAAGCAACCAAUGGAACAAAGAAUUGGACAAAACGCACAAACAAAGCAAGAAGGAAUGAAGGGUUUUAUUGAAAAUGAAAGUACACUCCACAGUGUGGGAGUGGGCCUGAGCAGAGGGGCUCAAAGGCCCCAUUGUAGAAUUUUGGGGAGUUUAAAUAUCCCCAAGAACCUGAACAACCUCUGCCGUUAACAUAUUUUGGUGACCCGGGAAGGAGGAAGAGGCCUGAAAGAUAAGACAAAGAGGUUCCUACAACCUGGAGACCGAGAAGGCUGCCAGGCAGGAGCUGUGAUUGCAGCUGAAAGAUGCAGCCGGUCUUUAGCAACUCCACAUGGAGGAAGCCAGGAAAAUAAAUACUCCAAUCAAUCACAAUUUCUUUUUCUGCUAUGUCUUGCCCAUGCUCUGAAUUUUUCAAAAUCGACUGGAAGCUAGAAAGCAAAGGAGAACUUUGAUUCAUCCAUAAGCCAGAUUCCCACAACAAAAGAAAGCCACAGAUCUCCUCAGAUGGCCUCCCUCACACAUUGCUCCCAAGGAAAUUC
rnacentral:lncRNA from 1 species